CGCAUCUGUGCAUGCAGCAUAUCAAUAAGCGGAGGAAAAGAAACUAACAAGGAUUCCCCUAGUAACGGCGAGUGAAGCGGGAAGAGCUCAAAUUUGAAAUCUUAAAGGGUUUCCCUUUACGAAUUGUAGUUUAAAGAAGUGUUUUCUGUUGAGGUUUUGGUAAAAGUUCUUUGGAAUAGGACAUCAUAGAGGGUGAGAAUCCCGUAUUUGACCUUUACUUUCAACUUUGUGAUACACUUUCAAAGAGUCGGAUUGUUUGGGAAUGCAGUCCAAAAUGGGUGGUAAAUUUCAUCUAAAGCUAAAUAUUGGCGAGAGACCGAUAGCGAACAAGUACCGUGAGGGAAAGAUGAAAAGAACUUUGAAAAGAGAGUUAAACAGUACGUGAAAUUGUCAAAAGAGAAGCGUUUGACACCAGUGUUGUUUUUCUGAAAAUCAAUUAAAGAACUGUUUAUGCUAAGUUGUUUAGACUUUAUCAGCUAACUGUUUAGUUUUGAGCUUUUCUUUAAUGCACUUUUCAGUUAACAAGUCAACAUCAAUUUCUUUUGCUGUAAAAAAGUUUGAGGAAGGUGGCUUGAGAUUCGUCUUAAGUGUUUAUAGCCUCUUGCCUAGUGCAGUCGGAGAGAUUGAGGUCUGCAGCGUAGAUCCUUCGGGGCUAAAUGCAUUUGUGCUAAGUUAUAGCAUUUUAUAGACAACUUGUUGACUAUGAUUUGUCUUGUAGCUUACUCGCUUAUGUUAUUUUACCUACGCUUAGGAUGUUGAACGCGCACAGAGUCUC
rnacentral:rRNA from 1 species